AUGGGUAAAGUAGUAGCACAUUUCAACAUUGAUGAGAAUAGCAUUACUUCCGGGUAUCAGCACAGUUAUCCUUUUUUUUCCCCCAGGUGUCUUUUUUUCUCAGGAAAAAAGGAGUGGAAAAGAUGAGCCAGUUUGCACUUUGUUGUGGGACAUAUAGGCAAAGAGUAAAACUCAGAGACCAGGUUAAGCACAUGUGUUCACAAGGAGAGACUAUGAAAAAAUGAAACAAAAGCAAAAACACUUAUGACUACCUCUGAGAGGAGUUCUUCGGGGAUUAGAAAAUUAAGAGCUGGUGGAAGGGGCCUGGAGUCAUUUAGUUCUUGGAACAUCAUUGGAAAACAGAUUAAGUCUGAUUAAAGCUCAUUUGUCUACAGUAACUUUCGUGCAGUACACAUGGAAAGGUAAAACGCCUAAUGUUGAUCCUAGACGGAAUGCCUGUCUUGAAGUGUUGCCUUUUCCUAGGGCAUAGGAGUGCCAGAAAUCCUCUCCCCUAGUCCCUAGCUCAUGAACAUAUUUUAUCCUAGUUACCCAUUAGUCAGUCACUGUGAUAAUAUCUCGUGAAAGCAGCUUCUUCCCUCAGAAGGUCCAUAAAAGCUUAUCUGGUAAGUCCUGUUUCCCACACGAGAGAGUAUGAGGGGGAUCAGAGUCUCUUUAUUCUUGAUGAGCUUUCUCAUCAGUUUUGAUGGAAGAAGGAUCCUGUGGUAAUUAAACUGCAGGUCCGUUUAUUUUGUUUUCAGCAUUGUUAGGAGAUUUUACUCUGAACUGCUUUCUUUCCUGAUUGACUCAUCCUUUGGGGCAAAAUGCCUGGGCUGAAAUUAAAUGUGUAGGUUUCUCUGCUGCCAUGUUCAAUCUGUCAUCUCCCCUAAACUUCACACUAAGAAGCAGCCAUUUAAUUGGUCAGACCCCGAGGGUGAUAUUUUGGCACAACUCCAUUGGUUAGAAUUACUUUUCCCUGAACAU